AGCGAGUCUGCCUUGAAGAUCGGAGUGCUUGCACUCUGUGAAACAAGAUACAGGCUAGCGGCGGACGGGUGAGUAACACGUGGGUAACCUGCCCAAGAGAUCGGGAUAACACCUGGAAACAGAUGCUAAUACCGGAUAACAACAGAUGAUGCCUAUCAACUGUUUAAAAGAUGGUUCUGCUAUCACUCUUGGAUGGACCUGCGGUGCAUUAGCUAGUUGGUAGGGUAACGGCCUACCAAGGCGAUGAUGCAUAGCCGAGUUGAGAGACUGAUCGGCCACAUUGGGACUGAGACACGGCCCAAACUCCUACGGGAGGCAGCAGUAGGGAAUCUUCCACAAUGGACGCAAGUCUGAUGGAGCAACGCCGCGUGAGUGAAGAAGGGUUUCGGCUCGUAAAGCUCUGUUGUUGGUGAAGAAGGACAGGGGUAGUAACUGACCUUUGUUUGACGGUAAUCAAUUAGAAAGUCACGGCUAACUACGUGCCAGCAGCCGCGGUAAUACGUAGGUGGCAAGCGUUGUCCGGAUUUAUUGGGCGUAAAGCGAGUGCAGGCGGCUCGAUAAGUCUGAUGUGAAAGCCUUCGGCUCAACCGGAGAAUUGCAUCAGAAACUGUCGAGCUUGAGUACAGAAGAGGAGAGUGGAACUCCAUGUGUAGCGGUGAAAUGCGUAGAUAUAUGGAAGAACACCGGUGGCGAAGGCGGCUCUCUGGUCUGUUACUGACGCUGAGGCUCGAAAGCAUGGGUAGCGAACAGGAUUAGAUACCCUGGUAGUCCAUGCCGUAAACGAUGAGUGCUAAGUGUUGGGAGGUUUCCGCCUCUCAGUGCUGCAGCUAACGCAUUAAGCACUCCG
rnacentral:rRNA from 1 species